AGUGAACGCUGGCGGUAGGCCUAACACAUGCAAGUCGAACGGCAGCACAGGAGAGCUUGCUCUCUGGGUGGCGAAUGGCGGACGGGUGAGGAAUACAUCGGAAUCUACCUUUUCGUGGGGGAUAACGUAGGGAAACUUACGCUAAUACCGCAUACGACCUACGGGUGAAAGUGGGGGAGCGCAAGGCCUCACGCGAUUAGAUGAGCCGAUGUCCGAUUAGCUAGUUGGCGGGGUAAUGGCCCACCAAAGCGACGAUCGGUAGCUGGUCUGAGAGGAUGAUCAGCCACACUGGAACUGAGACACGGUCCAGACUCCUACGGGAGGCAGCAGUGGGGAAUAUUGGACAAUGGGCGCAAGCCUGAUCCAGCCAUACCGCGUGGGUGAAGAAGGCCUUCGGGUUGUAAAGCCCUUUUGUUGGGAAAGAAAUCCUAUCGGUUAAUAACCGGUGGGGAUGACGGUGCCCAAAGAAUAAGCACCGGCUAACUUCGUGCCAGCAGCCGCAGUAACAC
rnacentral:rRNA from 1 species